rnacentral:rRNA from 1 species
UGCCCUAUACAGAGGGAUAGCCUCGGGAAACCGGGAUUAAUACCUCAUAAAACUCUAACAUCGCAUGAUGUGUGAGUCAAAGAUUUAUCAGUAUAGGAUGGGCCCGCGUCUGAUUAGCUAGUUGGUAAGGUAAUGGCUUACCAAGGCGACGAUCAGUAGCCGACCUGAGAGGGUGAUCGGCCACACUGGAACUGAGACACGGUCCAGACUCCUACGGGAGGCAGCAGUGGGGAAUAUUGCACAAUGGGCGAAAGCCUGAUGCAGCAACGCCGCGUGAGCGAUGAAGGCCUUCGGGUCGUAAAGCUCUGUCCUAAGGGAAGAAUAAUGACGGUACCUUAGGAGGAAGCCCCGGC